rnacentral:rRNA from 1 species
AGCGCACGGGAGCUUGCUUCCUGGGUGACGAGCGGCGGACGGGUGAGUAAUGUCUGGGAAACUGCCUGAUGGAGGGGGAUAACUACUGGAAACGGUAGCUAAUACCGCAUAACGUCUACGGACCAAAGUGGGGGACCUUCGGGCCUCAUGCCAUCAGAUGUGCCCAGAUGGGAUUAGCUAGUAGGUGGGGUAAUGGCUCACCUAGGCGACGAUCCCUAGCUGGUCUGAGAGGAUGACCAGCCACACUGGAACUGAGACACGGUCCAGACUCCUACGGGAGGCAGCAGUGGGGAAUAUUGCACAAUGGGCGCAAGCCUGAUGCAGCCAUGCCGCGUGUGUGAAGAAGGCCUUCGGGUUGUAAAGCACUUUCAGCGAGGAGGAAGGGUUCAGUGUUAAUAGCACUGUUCAUUGACGUUACUCGCAGAAGAAGCACCGGCUAACUCCGUGCCAGCAGCCGCGGUAAUACGGAGGGUGCAAGCGUUAAUCGGAAUUACUGGGCGUAAAGCGCACGCAGGCGGUUUGUUAAGUCAGAUGUGAAAUCCCCGCGCUUAACGUGGGAACUGCAUUUGAA